rnacentral:lncRNA from 1 species
CUACCCAUUUUCGCCCAAUGAGGCGUAAUGGGCCUUACUGGGCCCAUCGAAUGACAGACGGACAGCCGACCCAGAAUAAGGGCAGAUAUGUCAUCAAAUUACUACCAAAAGUUGCAGGUUCGUCUCCUCCUCUUCAGUAACGCAACUCCAAAACCUUGUGAGCUUCUCCUGCAUCAAGCUCGACCAUCCAUGGCCGACCGCCCAAAAUUAACCUGUUUGCAAGCAACUGUAGAAGAUCGAUCGGAUCCAAAGAUAACCCUUGAGAGCGGAUGCGGUACCCAAAAAAACCCUGAUCGGAUUUUAUUUUUUUUGUAUAGAUCACGAAUUCACCCGAUCUUCAUUGAUCAUGCACCCAGGAAUUCCCGAUCGAAUGAGAGAAGAAGGCGCAAUCUACCAGGCCUCUCCCGCUGAUCCAAGCCAGGAAAUCAAGAUCGGGACUCACCUCGACGGAGGAGCGCGCGCUGAUGGCGUCCUGCGGGAAUCAGCCUCUUGUUGAUGCGGAUGAUCCUCUCCCCUUCGAGAACUGUGGAGCCGGUAGAGAAUUGAAGCAGGCGAUGUCGAAUCAAGAACUACAGAUCGCUGGAUCCCAAAUCAUGCUACUGACGACAUGUUUUCCUCAGUUUGCUCGCAUUCUAACGUGGAUGCGAGACAGAUUCAACAACAACAAAAAAAAAGGCGAGAGCUAUCCCUCUGGCGCACGACCAGAGCACGACGGUAGGGGAAGAGGGGAAACGGAUGGAAAGGAGACAUGAGAGCUUGGCGGGAAAGAGACGGCUCGAGUUCGAGCGUCCUCAGAAGCCCAGCUUCGUGCGGCGCCAGUGCCUCCGCUUCGCGUUGUAGCGGAUGGUGU